rnacentral:rRNA from 1 species
CUUGGUGACCAUAGCGAAGGGGAAACACCCUGCUCCAUUCCGAACCAGGCAGUUAAGCCCUUCAGCGCUGAUGGUACUGCCCGGGCAACUGGGUGGGAGAGUAGGACAUCGCCAAGG